rnacentral:tRNA from 1 species
GCUUCCGUUGUAUAGUGGUUAUUACGUCAGCUUUACACGCUGAAGGUCGAGGGUUCGAUCCCCUCCGGGAGUA